AUUCCAGCUCCAAUAGCGUAUAUUCAAGUUGUUGCAGUUAAAAAGCUCGUAGUUGAAUUUCGGACGCGGUUGGGCGGUUUAGUCGCAAGAUUAACACUGCUUUGACCGUGUCUUUUCUUCUAGGGAACUGUUCUGCUAUUUAUUUAGUGGUUCAGGGAUCUAGGACUGUUACUUUGAAAAAAUUAGAGUGUUUAAAACAGGCUUACGCUUGAAUACAUUAGCAUGGAAUAACGGAAUAGGACUUUGUUUUUAUUUUGUUGGUUUUGAAAAACGAGGUAAUGAUUAAUAGGGAUAGUUGGGGGCAUUAGUAUUCCAUAGUCAGAGGUGAAAUUCUUGGAUUUAUGAAAGACUAACUUCUGCGAAAGCAUUUGCCAAGGAUGUUUUCAUUA
rnacentral:rRNA from 1 species